GCACGCGUAGCUCAGUUGGUAGAGCAGCUGACUCUUAAUCAGCGGGUCGUCGGUUCGAGUCCGUCCGCGUGUA
rnacentral:tRNA from 2 species